AACACCAACAGCUACAGACUGAAACAUUUGUAAGCUUGCACAGCUCUGGGAAGAAUCCACUUCAACAUCAUACACAAACCUGUAUCCUACACACAAGACUGGGUCAACUCAUCUUCAGAGAUUUUAAAUGGAAACACAAGUUCAGAAGACUUAUGAAGAGGCUAUGAGUAAGAAGUUUUCAUAGUUUCACUCUGGAAAGGCCCAGCUGAAACACUCAAUCACAGUUGUGGCAAAAAAGCCAAAGAGAGACAACAUUGCUUUUCAACAUUGACAAACACAGAAAGAGCAUUGUGGAGGACAGAAAUGGUGGAGCUCAAUGUAAGAUGUGGAAGAUGUUGAUGUGGAUGCACACAGGAUCUACAGUGAGGAAUGGAGACUGCUGGGACACAUCAUUUCAUGUGUUAUUUACUGCAUUUGUUUGAAAUCUUUAAUUGAAAUUGUUUUCAGACUGUUUUGGAUGAUAUUUACUAUUUUCCCAUAAUAAGAAGAAACAAACAAUUGUUGGUUAAACUAUAUUUUUUUCGUUCUGCCCAUGGUCUACAACCAAUCACAUCAUUCACCUGUAGGGUUUGUGGAAGGGAUAUAUUUUAAAUGCAACCAAUAUAGUGACUUUUCUGUAAGGGUUUUGGGUGGAAUAAAUCACAAGUUGACCAAUGAAAUGACUUUUGAGUGGCCCAAUAGCUGUCCGGUUUAGGGGUGGGUUUAGUUUCAAAUCAACCAAUCCAGUUUAACGCGAAUGACCAAAAGGGGAGGGCACAGUGGCA